rnacentral:rRNA from 1 species
AUUGAACGCUGGCGGAAUGCUUUACACAUGCAAGUCGAACGGCAGCACGGACUUCGGUCUGGUGGCGAGUGGCGAACGGGUGAGUAAUGUAUCGGAACGUGCCCAGUCGUGGGGGAUAACGUAGUGAAAAUUACGCUAAUACCGCAUACGAUCUAUGGAUGAAAGCGGGGGAUCGCAAGACCUCGCGCGAUUGGAGCGGCCGAUAUCAGAUUAGGUAGUUGGUGGGGUAAAGGCCCACCAAGCCAACGAUCUGCAGCUGGUCUGAGAGGACGACCAGCCACACUGGAACUGAGACACGGUCCAGACGCCUACGGGAGGCAGCAGUGGGGAAUUUUGGACAAUGGGCGAAAGCCUGAUCCAGCCAUUCCGCGUGCAGGAUGAAGGCCCUCGGGUUGUAAACUGCUUUUGUACGGAACGAAAAGGUUUCUACUAAUACUAGGAGCUCAUGACGGUACUGUAAGAAUAAGCACCGGCUAACUACGUGCCAGCCGCCGCGGUAA